GAUGAUGGAUAAGGUUUUGAUUCAGCAGCACACAACAGUUUUUUUAAGCUUGUUGCAAAUAAAACCAAUCAAAGAUGACUCAUGGUGGGAAAAGAGAAAGCAAACAGGACAUAUAGCUGCAACAACCCUCACAGAAAGCAGGAUGGCUUCAAAGAACGGCUUCCUGAAAAGAGAAAGAGGAAGAAAAAGAAGGAAUCAGCUGCCUUGACAACUGCCAAGUCGUCCAGGCUAAGAACAAAGAAUUCAUCCUGAGGUUUGCCUAGGAAAUGAGCAUGUUUUCAUUAACAUAAAGGAAAUACAAAAUGGACAUUUCCUUCAGAGUUCCAGAAGACAAGUCCUGGACAACUUUUGGAUAUAACUGGCCAUGAGCUGAAGAUGAAAAGAAGAGGGAGGUGGAGAAGCUGUGAGAAAUAACCUUGCACACAUCCCUGGAGCCCAGCAGACUCCACUUGGUCUGUCUUUUCCUGGUGUUCGCGUGCCUUCCCCAAUCAGCAAGACUGUCAGAACAGAAACGUGGUCGGAGCAGCGGCACGGACGGGCCGGGCGCGGGAGGUGGGUAACCCGAGGAGCACCAGUGUGAUGGGAAAGAUAAUGAGUAACUCCAAAAGUUAUUGGCUCAUUAACAAUGCCCUCCAGGAAGGAAUUUUCAGUCUAAUAAUAGAAGGAGCACAAGCACAGAUUCCCAAUAUGAUCUGCAGCCUGUUUAAUUCCACUGCUUUGGGAGUAGGGCUCUUGAUUUCUCCCUUUCUCUGGCACUUACAUAAUUUGGGCACUGAAGUGCUAACUCUAUUAUAUGGUUCAACAUGAAAACGGAGAAUUUUUCAAGCUUCAUUAACACACUCUUGCAAAAAUUGGCCUCAACUGAAGCUCAGUCAUUUUCCAAGACUCACAAUCCCUAGCAGAAGUUGUUGCUGAAAAUAAUAAGAUGCGUUUUUGAAAAGCAAAAACAGGAUUACAAAAUAUCCCACGUGAUUCAAAAUGGAGAACUCAGAAUAGAUAAAAACUCUACAAUAUAAUUCAUCUGAAUAGUAUUCCUUUUGGGCCACUAUACAAAAUUUAAUCCUAGCCAUAACUGCUAUGCCAAAAAAGGCCUGAGAAAACAGUCCAUAUUUUGGCCAGGGAGGUCAAUAACACCUUCAAAAUGUCUAUCCCAAAAUAUUGGCCUAAAUUUAAAAGUACAAAGUUACUGUAAGGACAAUGUUUUUGAAUCCUAAAAAAUUCUGAUUGUGUCUGUUUUCAUGGAGGACAAAGAAAACUGCAUUUUCCAAACCAAAGGUAUCACAAGUCUCAAUCAAAUAAAGAACCACAGGAAAAUAAAUCAUCUGAAGUUUCAAACCCAACAUUUUCUGAUUACUGAACCCAAGCAAAUAUUGCUGUCUUAAAAACAAGUUUAUACUUCAGGUUUCCCUAAAUAUAUAUGCCAAGUAUCUUUAUUUGGGUACAAAUCCCA